rnacentral:rRNA from 1 species
UGAGGAAUAUUGCGCAAUGAGCGAAAGCUAGACGCAGCAACGCCGCGUGGACGAUGAAGGCCUUCGGGUCGUAAAGUCCUUUUCAGAGGGACGAGUGAGGACGGUACCUCUGGAAUAAGUCACGGCUAACUACGUGCCAGCAGCCGCGGUAAAACGUAGGUGGCAAGCGUUAUCCGGAUUCACUGGGCGUAAAGCGCCUGCAGGCGGUCUUGUAAGUGGGAUGUGAAAUCUCCUGGCUUAACUGGGAGGGGCCAUUCCAUACUGCGGGACUCGAGGGCAGAAGAGGGAAGCGGAAUUCCCGGUGUAGUGGUGAAAUGCGUAGAUAUCGGGAGGAACACCAGUGGCGAAGGCGGCUUCCUGGCCUGCCCCUGACGCUAAGAGGCGAAAGCUAGGGGAGCGAACGGGAUUAGAAACCCCGGUAGUCCUAGCCGUAAACGAUGGAUACUGGGUGUCGGCGGUCCUAACCCCGUCGGUGCCGAAGCCAACGCGUUAAGUAUCCCGCCUGGGGACUACGGCCGCAAGGUUA